GUAAUUGUGCAUUUGUGGAGAGGAAAAAAGCUAGCAGCACUUUUUAACAAGUCUCCAAGUAAGUGGGGAAACAAAUGAAGGGAGAAAACUCUGCACAGCUAAUUAAUUCUACAGGGACGCAGUGAACUCUUCUGUUUUGUUGGACAAGAUAACUCGUUUGCCAGUUGACUUGAGAGAACAAAGAGAGCUUGGAGUUCUUUUCCAGUUCAGACACGUCAGGGAGAAGAAAGCCAUAAAGAUACUUCACUAUCACAGGAAGAUGUUUAAAACUGAUACAAUGACAUAGCAUCGGAAGAGUGUAGCUUCGUAAGCCUAGAAACAAUCUACUUUGCACUCAGUGGGAGCAGAGAAAUAUCCCAGAGCUGCACAUCAGAAACAGAAACCCCAGGUGUUGCUCUACCUUAAUGAUAGAGUCUUUUCGGAUUCUCCAGACUUCUUCUAUGUGGGUGGAAUUUAAUGUUGACAUUGCACCUUACUCAAUCUGGGCCAGACCAUCGCAUGUCUAAUGCUUCCUUGCAGAGAGCAUAAGAACAUAAGAUUGGCCAUAAUGGAUCAGACCAAAGGUCCAUACAGCCCAGUAUCCUGUCUGAAGACAGUGGCCAAUACCAGGUGCCCCAGAGGGAGUGAGCC